rnacentral:rRNA from 1 species
AGAGGGUGCAAGCGUUAAUCGGAGUUACUGGGCGUAAAGCGUGCGUAGGCGGAUAUUCAAGUCGGAUGUGAAAGCCCCGGGCUUAACCUGGGAACUGCAUUCGAUACUGGGUAUCUAGAGUAUGGUAGAGGAAAGUGGAAUUUCCGGUGUAGCGGUGAAAUGCGUAGAUAUCGGAAGGAACACCAGCGGCGAAGGCGACUUUCUGGACCAAUACUGACGCUGAGGUACGAAAGCGUGGGGAGCAAACAGGGAUUAGAGACCCUGGUAGUCCACGCUGUAAACGAUGAGAACUAGGCGUUAAUUCAUUUUAUUAUGGAACUAGUGCCAAAGCUAACGCGUUAAGUUCACCGCCUGGGGAUACGAUCGCAAGAUUA